UUCUCCCCAGGAUCUAGAACUUAACCCAAACCUGGGUUCUUGCUUAGCCAGAGACUUUGCAAGUGUGGAUAUACAAAGAAUAGUAAAAGCUGGCGAUUUUGGUGUAGAGAAUUGUUCUGGAUUUUAGUACGAACUUUGAAGUUCAACCCAUUUUGCAGAAAGGGGUCAGUGCCCUGGACAGCUUCAGUAAUGUCCAGACCCAAACCUGGAACAGAUUUAUCAUCUUCCCAGAACAGAAGACCAACUUCCAACAAGCAGCAGGGCUCUGCUAUGGAGACGAUGUCAGUCUGGAGCCACCAAAAGAUUCAAAGACAGAGUGGAACGUCCUGUGGUGGGUAACCUCUGUCCUUGAAUCUUCCCUCCCCAUGUGCUGUUAGCUGUCGGAGAUGAAUGGCUUGACGGGGCGCUAGGAGACCACGGCAAGAGUUUUAAUGGAAGUGAAUUAGGGAACGAAUGGAAGUGAACAAAGCCUCGCCUUGGCUGGUUGGCAGCCUUAAAAAUAAAAUAAAAGGUUUAUUUUCUAGAAAGCUAAUUCUCCACCAACAUCUGACUUUUUGCUUUCCUCCCCCUUUGCUCUUCUAUGGGUCACAGAUCAAGUACAGUGCUGAUUACAGCUGGAGGGAGGGAAUGUAAGCUGUUUUUUUAUUUCAUGGAGGUUCACAAUGAUAAAAAGAGUUUUUUUUUUUAAUUUCAUGGAGGUUCACAAUGAUAAAAAGAGAAUUUCUGGCAUAAACUUUGCUUUUAAAAGUGCUCUGUUCUUGCAGAAGGGGGAAGUAUAGGAUGCAGUGACAACAGGAAUGAAAAAAACAUGCAUUAUGUUGAUGUUGUUAUGGCAACUAAUGGGCUAAACUAAGUUUGAGAGGAAAAGGCAGGGACACGGGGAAAAUAAUAAGCCCUCCGCCCCAGAACACAGAUGCAUGCACACAAGUUGAGUGUCUUUUGGGAGAGCCACACAGGGUACACUAUGCUCAAUAACACCCAGCACGUAAUUUUCUCAUCAUAUUUAACUACCUUCUUUUUCUUCAACAUAAUAUCAUUGCCUGUCCCUUUAAGUCUACCCAGAGGGCUAACAAUUCUCCAAAAACGUAGAAGGAAGGAAGGAAGGAAGGAANNNNNNNNNNNNNNNNNNNNNNNNNNNNNNNNNNNNNNNNNNNNNNNNNNNNNNNNNNNNNNNNNNNNNNNNNNNNNNNNNNNNNNNNNNGGAAGGAAGGAAGGAAGGAAGGAAGGAAGGAAAAGCAAAGAAAGGAAGGAAGGAAAAGCGAAGGAAGGAAGGAAGGAAAGAAGGAAAAGCAAAGGAAGGAAAAAGCAGACCCAAGGAAGGACGGAACGAACACACAAGCAAAUAAACAAGCAAAUCAACAAAUGAAUGAACGAAGGGGCUGGAAGUCUAUUUCUAAUUUUUCAAAAACUGCUAUUUGGAAGCAUUAUGUGGAGCAGAGGUGGGUCAGCUGUGACCUACAAAAGUGAAUUACCACUCCCUGAGACUUCCAGGAGCUGAUAUUCAUCCUCGUUGUAAAAAAAGAGAGAGUAGAACAAGGGAGGUCUGGAGGCUGUAAAAAGAGGGAGCAAUGGGAGGCCUGAAGGGUGCCCCUUGACCACCCCCAGACUAAAGGUCCAAGAUGGCAGAGCCCUUUUUAAAAGAAAAAAAGGACGCUGUCCAAUUUGAAUGAUUUGUCCAGUCCAUCUAUCAGUGUGCAUCUUUGCCUAGCUUCAGGAGAGGAAAUGAGGUGUUCUAGGGAAACCAAAUUAGAAAAGCAGAAUGGCGAAAUGCGACAAGGAAAAAAAAUAUAUGAAGACAGGCGGUUCACCUCUAUUUUGUUCAAGUGCGCCAUGUACCUGGCAGGAAGAGAGAUACAGCUAGAGAAUAUGUAUGCUGGGAGUCCAGAAAAGCCCAUCUCCCGUCUCGUCUCCCUCUCUCAAUCUCCUUAAAAAUCAAUUCAGGCAGUUCCACCUCAGUGAGGAGAGAAAGGCAGAGAGACCUCCAGUCUGUUCAGGACCCGGGGCCUCGGAGAGAAGCUUUACCGUGGGGUGGGGUGGGAGCCGAAGCGAAAAUGGAGCGGAGCUUAAUCCAAAAA
ensembl:lncRNA